CAUGGUUUUACAUUGUUUAAGGAUUUCAAUGCUUUUAAAAGGCUGGCGAUUUCAUUUCGAAUGAAAAGUAAAGAAUUGAAGUUUAGUUCUUAAAGAGCAGUUAACGAGACUGUUACAAAUUCUUACUAAAAUAAAAGAUAUUGAACGUCUAGUACUGUGUAUUCUUUUACUUGCUUUGGGAAAAUGUUAACUGAAGACGCUUGAUCGUUGUCAGGAUUUGUUUGAUU